rnacentral:tRNA from 1 species
UGUUGUAGCUCAGUGGUAGAGCACUUGUCUAGCACAUGAGGCAUUGGGUUCAAUCCUCAGUAUGAUAU